GUGCAGUGCCAGCGCGUCCCUGAGACACGAUGGUGAAGGUCUGAGUGAACGGAUUUGGCCGUAUUGGGCACCUGGUCACCAUGGCUGCUUUUAACUCUGGCAAAGUGGAUAUUGUCGCCAUCAAUGACCCCUUCAUUGACCUCAACUACAUGGUCUACAUGUUCCAGUAUGAUUCCACCCAUGGCAAAUUCCACGGCACAGUCAAGGCUGAGAACGGGAAGCUUGUCAUCAAUGGAAAGUCCAUCUCCAUCUUCCAGGAGCGAGAUCCCGCCAACAUCAAAUGGGGUGAUGCUGGUGCUGAGUAUGUUGUGGAGUCCACUGGGGUCUUCACCACCAUGGAGAAGGCUGGGGCCCACUUGAAGGGCGGGACCAAGAAGGUCAUCAUCUCUGCUCCUUCUGCUGAUGCCCCCAUGUUCGUGAUGGGUGUGAACCAUGAGAAGUAUGACAACUCCCUCAAGAUUGUCAGCAAUGCCUCCUGCACCACCAACUGCUUGGCUCCUCUGGCCAAGGUCAUCCAUGACAACUUCAGCAUCGUGGAGGGACUCAGGACCACCGUCCAUGCCAUCACUGCCACCCAGAAGACCGUGGACGGCCCCUCUGGGAAGCUGUGGCACGACUGCCGAGGGGCUGCCCAGAACAUCAUCCCUGCUUCCACUGGCGCUGCCAAGGCUGUGGGCAAGGUCAUCCCUGAGCUGAACGGGAAGCUCACUGCAUGGCCUUCCGUGUCCCCACCCCCAACGUGUUCAUCGUGGAUCUGACCUGCCGCCUGGAGAAGGCUGCGAAAUACGACGACAUCAAGAAGGUGGUGAAGCAGGCGUCAGAGGGCCCCCUCAAGGGCAUCCUGGGGUACACUGAGGGCCAGGUUGUCUCCUGCGACUUUAACAGUGACACCCACUCCUCCACCUUCGAUGCCGGGGCUGGCAUUGCUCUCAACGACCACUUUGUCAAACUCAUUUCCUGGUAUGACAAUGAAUUCGGCUACAGCAACCGGGUGGUGGACCUUAUGGUCCACAUGGCCUCCAAGGAGUAAGAGCUCCCUGGACUACCAGCCCCAGCGAGAGCAAGAGGAAGAGAGAGGCCCUCAGCUGCUGGGGAGUCCCUGCCCCAACUUAUCCCCCAAAACACUGAGAAUCUCCCGAUCUCCACCGUUUCCAUCCCAGACCCCCUGAAGAAGGGGAGGGGCUUGGGGAGCCCUACCUUGUCAUGUACCAUCAAUAAACUAUACUGUACCCAGCCAAAAAAGAAAACAAAAAUUAGUUAAAAAGAUGGGCCAGUCUCUGGAUACUCAGGCCCUAAUCCAGUUCUUUGGGAAGUAGACACAACCGUCUUUGUCUUCCAAAUCUCUACAAAACCAGAAAUGCGGCCCUGAGAUCAAGUCCAAGCCCACAGGCC